rnacentral:tRNA from 1 species
GUUAGCUCAAUUGGUUAGAGCAUCUGACUCUUAAUCAGAGGGUUCCAGGUUCGAGUCCUGG